rnacentral:lncRNA from 1 species
UGGCCUCGUGUUGCUGUACGCGAUGGUGGCGGGGACAAAGAGAGCUUUUUAUUGAGCUCUACAUGUGUUGCUUCCAGCACUGACACCGUUGCUAAUGCUUCUGUGAUACUCACUGAAGCUCCCAAGUUGGAGAUGAUGGUGCAUGUGAUGUACAAAACUCAUAGGAAGGAAGGAAGAGAUGGAAACUCACAAAGGGAUCGACUUGUUAGUGUGUGCCGUGGAGACUGAGAGCAAGGGAACGGUGCCCACUGGCUGGGUUCUUGUUUUGCUCUUUGUUAGAGAAGUGGCUGGCAACGGCACUCAUGUAAAAUGAAAGGAAAAAUGAUGUAAACUUACGUUGUAAUACAGGGUUCCGUAGUCCUGGAGAAAGAAAGAAAAACCUGGUUCGCUGUUUGGCUCGC